CAGAGAACAAACAAAACCUGGUUAUCAGGUAUCUGUCAUCAGACACCCCUGUAACAGAUCAUCACAUCAUUUUUUUAUUUCCCAAUGGAUCCUUUCAGUGGUAGAAGGAGUGCUGAGGGCUCCUUUCUCAGAGAGCAUACCAAGGCUAUGUUCCACUCUCAUCAGUAAGACAACAGAGAAGAUUUCUGUCUGUUGCAUUCAGAGAUGUAAGAAAUCAGACAAAGGAAGAACAAGGACAUUCCUACAACAUUCAGAUUCAUCUCUGCAGCUGUGGAAAUAAUUAAAAUUAUUGGAAUGCCUGUGAAUGGCUGCUUUCAUCAUACUGUCUGUAGGCUGUAGCUGAGUCUUACCACAGAGACAGCAGUGGGGUUAGAGUUGGUUGUAGAUCUGCAAAGCCUUUCUUUGUAAUAUUCACCUUUGAUACUCUUAAGCUGCCUUUGUAGAGCCUUUGCUGCUGUUGUAUAAUCUCUGAAGUGGUUCAUUGCACACUAAGACCAUUCUUUUAGCCUCCUCAGGUACUACAAGUAGCAAUUAGAGUUUUCCCCAUCCCUUAAUUCACACAGUGCAGGAG
rnacentral:lncRNA from 1 species